GCUGGCGUAGCUCAGUUGGCAGAGCAGCUGACUUGUAAUCAGCAGGUCCGGGGUUCGAUUCCCUGCGCCAGCUCCA
rnacentral:tRNA from 1 species